rnacentral:rRNA from 2 species
GCGUUAACGAACGAGACCUCAGCCUGCUAACUAGCUAUGCGGAGGUAUCCCUCCGCGGCCAGCUUCUUAGAGGGACUACGGCCUUUUAGGCCGCGGAAGUUUGAGGCA